AUUGAACGCUGGCGGCAGGCCUAACACAUGCAAGUCGAGCGGAUGAAGGGAGCUUGCUCCUGGAGUCAGCGGCGGACGGGUGAGUAAUGCCUAGGAAUCUCCCUGGUAGUGGGGUAUAACGUCCGGAAACGGGCGCUAAUACCGCAUACUUCCUGAGGGAGAAAGUGGGGGAUCUUCGGACCGCGCGCUAUCAGAUGAGCCUAGGUCGGAUUAGCUAGUUGGUGGGGUAAAGGCCUACCAAGGCGACGAUCCGUAACUGGUCUGAGAGGAUGAUCAGUCACACUGGAACUGAGACACGGUCCAGACUCCUACGGGAGGCAGCAGUGGGGAAUAUUGGACAAUGGGCGAAAGCCUGAUCCAGCCAUGCCGCGUGUGUGAAGAAGGUCUUCGGAUUGUAAAGCACUUUAAGUUGGGAGGAAGGGCAGUAAGUUAAUACCUUGCUGUUUUGACGUUACCAACAGAAUAAGCACCGGCUAACUUCGUG
rnacentral:rRNA from 1 species